rnacentral:lncRNA from 1 species
UGGGGGAUGGGAGGAUGUUGCCAUGACAACUGCCAUAAUAAUCAUCCUAAUGAUUGAUGUGCUGCACUCCGUUUCUCUCCAUUUGGACUCUCUCUCUCUCUCUCUCUCGCUCUCGCUCUCUGUCUCUCUCUCUCUCUCUCUAAAUCUAAAUCUGUCUGUAGGAGAUGAUAUUCUGUGUUCAUUACAUUAUAACAAGGAAGACUGUGAUAAACAUGAAGACAAACAUACACACAAAUGUUUAAUGAUAUCUUAAUAGGACACUGAAAUAUUGUUUAUUAUGACAAAUUACUCGUUUAUUUGAAACAUUUCUCAGCUGUGUUUGGUAGUAAAAGAUUGAUUAUGAAAAGAAGAGGGGAGAAGAAAAAAGAGGUGCUGCUAUGUCUCCUGUGUAGGAGUCUGAGUCAUUCUAAUGUCAUUGCAUUAGACCAUUCGUUUUGUGUGUAAAAUUGUGAGGUGUGUGUACGCGUGUGUGUGUACGGGCUCAUACAUACAUAUCUAAUUUCCUCUUGGGGAUAAAUGAAGUUCUUCUUAUCAUAUCUUAUACAAACCCCAAAUAGUUCUGUAAUUAAAUAAUUGCUCUACAAACUUUAAACUAAGCGACCUUUUGCGCUUGUCCUGUCAGAAAUAGCUUCCACUCACAGAUUUUUAAAAAAAGUUUAGAUGAAUCAACAAUCUGCCUCUUUUCUAUUCUUAAGUUUGUUUAAUAGCUUAUAUUUUGUUAAUAUAAACCUAACUGCCCUCUGCUCUGUGGCAGAUGAUAGCAUAUAAUUGAUGAAAUGUCCUGUUUCAGAAAUAAUUCUCUGUAUGAUCAUUUCUUAUAUUGCUAUGCCAUAAUAUAAUGUGGUUCUAAUUCUGAUUUUCUGCUUCCACAUGAGAGAAUCUUAUUCAGUGUAGGACUCAGGAUUAAUUUGACAUUGAUUUGAUGCUAUAACAUAUUUUAUAUUACACAAGUACAGAUAGGACUGGCAAAGUAUAAUGUGAUGUUCUUUAAAGUGUCUCAAUAUUAUAAAUGACAUGUUCAACAUUUCUCUUCUAUAACAUAAUCUGACUCUUAAAAGACACAUUUUAAAAGCAAGUCCUGAGGAGUUGUGCGCAAAAACUAAGUGAAAUAUCAAUUAAGAUGCAUUUCACUCAUUCUCUUUUAAUUAAUACCUUUUAAACAGGAUAAAAAUAAAAAAAAUAAACUUAGCAUGACUAUUAAUAAUAACAAUAAUAAUGAUAAUAUUGUAAUAAUAUUUUUUUUGAUAUAAUAAUAGUAAUAAUAAUAAUGAAAAUAAUUAUAGUAAUGAUGAAUAAAUAUAAAUUAUUAUCAUUAUUAUUAUUAUUAUUAUUAUUGUUGUUGUUGUUGAUGAUUUUAUUAAUAUUGCUUAUUAAAGUAUUAUAAUACUUUUAGAUUUUUUUAUUACUUAUACUUCUACUACUACUACUACUAAUAAUAAUAUCUUAAUCUUUUAUAUUUUUGGCAUAAUGUAAUUAUUUUUUUCUUUUUGCUUCAUUCUUAUUUUAAUGAAUUAAAUUAUUUUAUUGUUUCACUUUUUCCAGUGACAGAUUUGAUAAUUCAAGCAACAUUUAAAAAACCAAUUUAAUAUUAAUUUUAAAAAUUGCUUUUACAAAAGGACACAAGACACUAAAGCCCAACAGUAGGGUUGGUAAUCACGGCAGUGUAGCAUGAAUUUGAAUGUAGCAUUUCCUCAGGACUUUGUCUAGUCCUUCCACCCUCCACUUAGAGCUCUUCCAAAACAACGGCCCUGCUCACCUGCACGAGCACUGCUGUCUGCUGAUUCAAAACCACAGACUCCAAAAUUUGGGACUUUAGAUCGGAAAGUCUUUGCACAGCAGGGACAAAGAAGGUAGCAUUAGCAUCGGGAUGACCACAUAACCAGCAACAUGGCUAAAUACUUGAUCAAGAUUAAAAAUCGCCCUGUAACAAAUCCUCAACGUUCCUUUCCAACAGAAAAUUAGUGACCAUAGCAUCACUUUUAAAGCCCUUGACCUCUUUCAGUUCUCUCCAUCGUUGAAAAGCUGUCCCGAUGUUGACUUUCAUUUUCACACUUGCUUCUCUGAACUCUGUCUUGCUUCAGCCUUCUCUGCCUCCGUCUUUCUUUUCUUGCUAUUUUUGCAGAAGGAGCAGUCACCAUUAAUCUGGGUGUAGGUAGUUUUUCUGCCAUUCUCCUGUGUAGCUGUAUCCCUCUCAGCUCGACUAUGUGCAUUGAAUCGGGGCCAUGAACCACAAGAAGUGGGCAUGGGAUAUGAUUGGUUUUAAAAAUGUGGGACCCACACGAUGUGAUUGUUUGGUGUUUUCCCAGUUUUUCUCCUGCUGCAGAUAGUGGCUGUGCUCUUUUUUUAAGAACAUAUCAUGUAUUGAUUGCCAUCGUAACUUAAAGAUAAUUUUAACCAGAAUAACAAAAGUGUAUCUUUAUCAGAUUACCAACCCUACCUUUAACUAAAACCUGACCAGCCACAUGACAGGUUUUAAAAAGUUUCUUUUUUUCCAGACAAGUGUACCACAAAUACUUUAUAUGUGUGUAGCUGUUCUGAGUUCUUAGUUUUUUAUUUUUAAGUGACUUUUUUAUUCUGUUACCUUUAUCACCCAUGUGAUCCAAUUCAUGUUUUGUUUCUCUUUCUAGUGUGAUAACAUUGGUGUUUGUGUGUGUGUGUGUGUGUGUAGCGCAGACCUCAUCGCUACAUAGUCAUCUAUACAAACUGACAAGCUGUCAGCCAUACUAUCUUCUUUUGCUGAACUUUCUCCCUCUCUGUUUCUCUCACCCUCUUUAUCUCUUAUGCAUACAAGCAAACACACACUCACAGACUCACUCACGAUGCACACACACUCAUACACAUGCAUGCAUGCAUGCAUGCAUGCAUGCACACACACACAAUUACACAAUCAAUCUAUCUCCUCUCUGACACAGUGUCCUUGUGGCCUGCAGUUGUGCUGUGGAGUUUUGUGAUUAUGCAAACUUAUCUGCCUGAAGCUGGUGUCCCCCUCUUUACAUAUAUGUAUGACCAGGGGCGGAUCUAGAAAAAUAUUCAUGGGGUGGCAAGAGGGGGGCAGGAAUUUUUGAGGGGUGGCAACAUAUGGCAGAUAUAUACUGAGUUUGAUCAAUACAAAAAGGCAUUGCUGCCAUUUACAAACAUGACAGACAUUCUUCGUCCAAUACAAUCUUUCUUUUAUUAGGAUUCUCACACCAGUAAGAUUAAUACGAUGAGGCAUGUAAAAAUAAAAACAACAACCCAUUGCAGCUCCAUGGAUUUAGACCAGUGUCACAUUUUAAACGUUUCUCAUAUGCAAGCAUGAAAAUGGGUCAGGGGUUGAAAAGGUGAGAAGGGUGCGGAGGAAAUACGUUCCGGUACACUGUACAACCCAACAAAAUAUUGAGCUCUGUUCACCCACAUUGUGUUUCAGUGAUCUGCAGGAGGCGGCAAAAACACUCCAAGUCACACCUGCUUGCUUUUUUGCAGAUGCCUGCUUUUGCUAUUUUAGAUGGCUCAAAACCAGGGCCGUAGCCAGGAUUUUGGAAUAGGUGAGGUCCAUGAUGCGCGCGCUGAAGUUUUUUUUAAUGUUUUUUUUUUAUUACAAUUUUUUAGGCUACAAGUCACACAAGAUGUUUAUUGUUUAAAUAUAUUUUAUUUAUUUUAACUUUUUUUUAAAUUUUAUUCCAUUCUCCUCCGUGUGCCUCUGCUCCCCUUCCAUCUCUGAAUGACUCUCCUCUCUCUGCUACACCUAACUUUCCCUAUUCUCUCUUCCAUCCUCCUUGGUUUCAUGUUUACUAUCUUCCUCUUUGUCAAUUUCUUUCUUUUUCUUUGCCAGAAAUGCAUCCAGGGUAUUCUGUUUUAAUCUCUUGAACAUGUUUGCCCUGCUCUCUGUGACUUGUUUUCUGUGGAAUGGGUAUAUUAAAAUUAAUAUGAGCUGCAAACUUGCUAGAUAAACUGAACAUUAAUAUCUAAAAGUGCCCCCUCUAACUUUUUAACCCAUAUGUACUUUCACUUACCAAAUGAUUUCUUGAAGUUGACAUAUAAGGUACUCAGAAGGUCUACUAUUUUUUACUGUUUUUAAACUGUUGGGUUUAUUUUGUAGCGGCUUUAGAAGAGUGCUAUGAUGCAAACGUGUACAAAUAACUAAGACGUCGCCUGAACUGCACUAAACAAAGCAAACGUCACGUAACUCGAGUGCUGCGUCCGAACUGCCCGCUCGGAUACUACAUGCUACUGCUACGUGCUACUGCUAGAUCCUACUCCUACAUACUAAACACGUUGGCCCAAUUCGGACACACUAGACGAGCGGUGGGGAAAGACGACCCCCGCAGGCAGAGAGUAGGUACUGCGCCCGUGCAGACAGUGGUAACUGAAGCCCCUCAUCUGCGGGCCUGGCUGUAGUACUGCAGCUGUGCAGUUUAAUGAUGGAAUAAGUGAGCUUUACCUCCAUGAUGUCGCCACAUAUUUGCUCAUAAAAUGAUUACUUGGGCAAAUAUGACACCAUGACAUGACAAAGAGAUACAACCGCACAUUUUUUAGGACAGUGUGUGAAGUUACAUGAAACUUACAUCUGUACUGCUGCGGUCCCGCGACAUGGUGCGCGCUGUUGUGGCCAGCCGGCGUUCGCGAUACAUUUAAAUAGGCAGAGCAGCUGGUGGCGCUAGCAUCACAUGCGCUUCUACAACUUUUAAGAGGACGAAGAAGAAGCCCGUGGUGCAUUUUGGGUCAGUAGCAUGCCCGUAGGAUGCACCGAGACCAACCUACAAUGUGGGCGUGUCUAGUAUCUGAAGUAGUAUCUGAAGUAGCAUGCUACUCGCUCCGGUGGCCAAUUCGGACAUGCUAGAUACUACUUCGACUUCUACUUCGACUACUACUUGGCAAUUCGGACGCAGCUAAAGUCCUCGAGUAGUCGCAUCAUCGUGACGCGUACUCGGCCAGCUGAUGAGCCGGGCGCUCAUCAAAAAAGAAAAUAAGCGCCGGGCGCGCUCUCCGCUGUGGAUAAAAGUAAAUAAACUGGCUUUGAUCAGAUGAUUUGACUGGCCGAACUAGUGCCGAAUUAUCUAAAAAAUAUAUAUUGUGGUCACCUAGGUGUAGAUGGGCGGGGAUUUGGUCUAUGAAGUGCUAAUAAUAAAAAUACUUUAGUUUUUGAAUGGGGUUUCACAGGGCGCAGUCGCGGGUACGUGCAUCAGCUGAUCAAACAGCUGUUCACCGCAACACGCACAGAGGCACAAACAGAACACAAAGCCCAUGGAUGUUUACCACAAUUUACAAGCACGUUUCACAGAGAGGUUUCAAGUUUUUAUAAGUUUAUGUUUUAUUCAGUUGGGCGUAUUUGGCGGAAAAAAACCUCGGAAAAAAUAGGGGAGUCAAGGUAAAGAACAAUAAACUUUCGGGACAGCAAAUAUUCUGAAUCAGAGGGCUAUUGUUUUCGGCUAAUCUGUAUAACCUGAAUGAAAUCAUUAAAGGCACACGCUUUUGAAUCCGUCCAACGGUAAGGAAAACUUCGAUUAUUUCGCCUUGUUACGUACUUUCAACCGCGCUCUCGUCAGGGGGGCAUUCUACGGCAGGGGUGCAUUCUACGGCACAACACCGGCGUGGAUAAGUCCUGCUUCUCGUUCUCGCAGCUUUGCAAUGCUACCACAGGCUCUCCAAGUACUCCAAGUACACGUGAAGAGUGUGCGCAUGAUUGGUUCUCGUCAGCGAAGCAGCCAGGAGGAUUUGCUGACCGUCCAAGUGUCAUUUAAAGGGCCGAUUUCUGAAGUGUUCAGUUUACGUAUUAAGUCAAUCACAUGAUAAUUAAAAAAUAAAUAAAUAAAUCUCCCGACCCCGACCC